rnacentral:misc_RNA from 1 species
AUGCGAUAAGUAGUGUGAAUUGCAGAAUUCAGUGAAUCAUCGAAUCUUUGAACGCACAUUGCGCCCUUUGGCAUUCCGAAGGGCAUACCUGUUCGAGCGUCAUUACAACCGUCAAGCCUGGCUUGGUGUUGGGCGUCUUUGUCCCGCUGCAUUGCGUGGACUCGCCUCAAAUACAUCGGCGGCUGUAUGUGGGCCUGAUGCGUAGCAUACUUCGCAGAUCAGGCCUGCCUACAGGCAGCCGGAAUGCAGCUCUUUUCUGUUUGACCUCGGAUCAGGUAGGGAUACCCGCUGAACUUAA